GACUUGACAUCUCCUGAAUUACUCUUAAUCGAGGAAGUCCCUUCGGGGACAGGAAGACAGGUGGUGCAUGGUUGUCGUCAGCUCGUGUCGUGAGAUGUUGGGUUAAGUCCCGCAACGAGCGCAACCCUUAUUGUUAGUUGCUACUAUUAAGUUAAGCACUCUAACGAGACUGCCGCGGUUAACGUGGAGGAAGGUGGGGAUGACGUCAAAUCAUCAUGCCCCUUAUGUCUAGGGCUACACACGUGCUACAAUGGCUGGUACAACGAGCAGCAAACCCGCGAGGGGGAGCAAAACUUGAAAGCCAGUCCCAGUUCGGAUUGUAGGCUGAAACUCGCCUACAUGAAGUUGGAGUUGCUAGUAAUCGCGAAUCAGCAUGUCGCGGUGAAUACGUUCCCGGGUCUUGUACACACCGCCCGUCACACCAUGAGAGCCGGUAACACCCGAAGCCCGUGAGGUAACCGUAAGGAGCCAGCGGGCGAAGGGGGGAUUGGUGAUUGGGGUGAAGUCGUAACAAGGUAGCCGUAGGAGAACCUGCGGCUGGAUCACCUCCUUUCUAGGGA
rnacentral:rRNA from 1 species